rnacentral:rRNA from 1 species
UACGAAGGGGGCUAGCGUUGCUCGGAAUCACUGGGCGUAAAGCGCACGUAGGCGGCUUGUUAAGUCAGGGGUGAAAUCCUGGAGCUCAACUCCAGAACUGCCUUUGAUACUGAAGAUCUUGAGUUCGGGAGAGGUGAGUGGAACUGCGAGUGUAGAGGUGAAAUUCGUAGAUAUUCGCAAGAACACCAGUGGCGAAGGCGGCUCACUGGCCCGGUACUGACGCUGAGGUGCGAAAGCGUGGGGAGCAAACAGG